GGGAAUAUUGGGCAAUGGGCGCAAGCCUGACCCAGCAACGCCGCGUGAAGGAAGAAGGCUUUCGGGUUGUAAACUUCUUUUAAGAGGGAAGAGCAGAAGACGGUACCUCUUGAAUAAGCCACGGCUAACUACGUGCCAGCAGCCGCGGUAUUACGUAGGUGGCAAGCGUUGUCCGGAUUUACUGGGUGUAAAGGGCGUGCAGCCGGGCUGACAAGUCAGAUGUGAAAUCCCGCGGCUCAACCGCGGAACUGCAUUUGAAACUGUUAGUCUUGAGUACCGGAGAGGUCAUCGGAAUUCCUUGUGUAGCGGUGAAAUGCGUAGAUAUAAGGAAGAACACCAGUGGCGAAGGCGGAUGACUGGACGGCAACUGACGGUGAGGCGCGAAAGCGUGGGGAGCAAAC
rnacentral:rRNA from 1 species